GACGAACGCUGGCGGCGUGCCUAAUACAUGCAAGUCGAGCGGACGUUUUGUUGGUGCUUGCACCGACUUAACGUUAGCGGCGGACGGGUGAGUAACACGUGGGCAACCUGCCCUGUAGUCUGGGAUAACUCCGGGAAACCGGGGCUAAUACCGGAUGAUACUUUCUGGCUCAUGUCAGAAAGUUGAAAGAUGGUUUACGCUAUCGCUACAGGAUGGGCCCGCGGCGCAUUAGCUAGUUGGUGAGGUAACGGCUCACCAAGGCGAUGAUGCGUAGCCGACCUGGGAGAGUGAUCGGCCACACUGGGACUGAGACACGGCCCAGACUCCUACGGGAGGCAGCAGUAGGGAAUCUUCCACAAUGGACGAAAGUCCGAUGGAGCAACGCCGCGUGAGUGAAGAAGGAUUUCGGUUCGUAAAACUCUGUUGUAAGGGAAGAAUAAGUACAGUAGUAACUGGCUGUACCUUGACGGUACCUUAUUAGAAAGCCACGGCUAACUACGUGCCAGCAGCCGCGGUAACAC
rnacentral:rRNA from 1 species